GUGAUUCAGUUUGACACCCCUGUUCUAAGACGGUGUGAAGUUUCCAGCUGAUGAAGUUCAUGACCUCUGACCUCCUGCUCUACCGCAUGUUUCCACUACAGCAUCUGAGGAUCAGUUCAUCACAUAGAAGAGCUCCAGGGGGGCCUGUGUGAAGGAGAACGAAGCCACUUGUUUCACACAGGUUCUUAUGCAACCUUCCCCUGUGCUGUGAAACUAGGGUGAGGGCGGCGGAGAAACCUGGUUCCAGUUUGAAGGAAAAGUGGGGCAGCUCUCUCUUCACCACAGUGACUGUAUAACUGCACCGAUCUGCCCGUCGACCCCACGCUCUGACCUUCUCUCACUCAAGACCACAAGAUCCAUCCAUCCCUCCACCUGAGGCGGGAACACUCCACACAUCCAGAGAAGGCAAACUCCCUUUCUCCACCACAUGGGAAUGGAAGCAUCAUGGUUGGGGCUGCUUUCCAAAUGAAGGAAAGGAUGAAUUCGGUCAUGUAUAAAGAGAUUUUGGGUAUAAAGUCUCUAGAUCUUGUCAAAUA